UACGAAGGGGGCAAGCGUUGUUCGGAAUUACUGGGCGUAAAGGGCGCGUAGGCGGUGCACUAAGUCAGGCGUGAAAGCCCUGGGCUCAACCCGGGAAUUGCGCUUGAUACUGGUGCGCUUGAAUCCAGGAGAGGUUGGUGGAAUUCCCAGUGUAGAGGUGAAAUUCGUAGAGAUUGGGAAGAACACCGGUGGCGAAGGCGGCUCACUGGCUCGUUUCUGACGCUCAGGCGCGACAGCGUGGGGAUCAAACAGG
rnacentral:rRNA from 1 species